UGGUGGCUAUUGGUACUUUACGGAACGGAACGGAACGGAACGGAACGGAAAAGAAUUUCAUUUAAGGUAUCCAAAGGGGGCAUUUAUCAAAAUUUCGAAAAAUCUUUAAAACAAAACAAACUUUAAAAUUUCUGUGUUUUACGGUUUUCCAUAUACAAAUAACACAAAUGUAUACUUAAUCUCAUCUUCACAAGUGAAAUGUGUAAUAAUG
rnacentral:lncRNA from 1 species